GGGGAAUUUUGGACAAUGGGCGCAAGCCUGAUCCAGCCAUUCCGCGUGCAGGAUGAAGGCCUUCGGGUUGUAAACUGCUUUUGUACGGAACGAAAAGGUCCUGGUUAAUACCUGGGGCUCAUGACGGUACCGUAAGAAUAAGCACCGGCUAACUACGUGCCAGCAGCCGCGGUAAUACGUAGGGUGCAAGCGUUAAUCGGAAUUACUGGGCGUAAAGCGUGCGCAGGCGGUCUUGUGAGACAGAGGUGAAAUCCCCGGGCUCAACCUGGUAACUGCCUUUGUGACUGCAAGGCUGGAGUACGGCAGAGGGGGAUGGAAUUCCGCGUGUAGCAGUGAAAUGCGUAGAUAUGCGGAGGAACACCGAUGGCGAAGGCAAUCCCCUGGGCCUGUACUGACGCUCAUGCACGAAAGCGUGGGGAGCAAAC
rnacentral:rRNA from 1 species